rnacentral:lncRNA from 1 species
UAUAAAUACAAGGAAGCUUAUGAGAAGUCAGAGGGAAAGCAUGUGGGUUUUAGAAGCCUUCAGGAUGAUCCCACGCUGGUCCAUUACAUGAAUGUGGCAAAACUGUAGUCGGAUCAUGAACACAAGAGGAACUAUGAGAACGUCAAAAUGAGCUACCAUACCCCUGGGGACAUGCUUAGCAUUACAGCUGCGAAGUUGUCCCGGGAUGUUGUCAGCGAUAUCAACUACAAACAGCCCGUACACCAUUACAUGUACCUACCCGAUGCCAUGAGUCUCAAGCAAGCACACCAGGAAUGUGAAUCAAAUUCAGAGCGAUAAACUAUAUCAAGAUGCAUGGAAUAAAGAUAAAACCAACAUCACCAUUCCUUCUGACAUGCCAGGCAUGCUGCAGGCCCCUAUAAAUGCCCUGCAAAUCAGCAAUAAAUUUUACCAAAAAGACUGGAAUGAGACCAAGCAGAAAGGCUAUGACUUCAAAGCAGAUGCCAUUGAAAUCAAGCAAGCCAAAGACUCCAGAGAUAUUUCCAGUGAGUACAAGUACAAAGAAGGUUAGCAUAAGCAACUGGGCCACCACGUGGGUUUCCGCACCCUACAAGAUGACCCCAAAUUGGUAUGGUCUAUACACACUGCCAAGAUCCAGAGUGACAGAAAAUACAAGAAAGCUUAUGAGAAGUUUGAAAGAAUUCCCAAUACACCAUUGGACAUGA